GGAUGCAGAACACUGUAACCUUCCACACAAAAUAGUUCCAAACAAGUAACAUCCGCUUGUGACGUGUGACGCGUUAAUCUCGCGAGAAAAAAUGUAAUCCUGUUAAAAUUCAUUUAAAUUAAUAAUAAUCAUACAUUUUAUUUAUAAGCGCCUUUCAAACGCGCUAAACUGACAGCUCUAAUAUAUAUAUACAUAUAUAUAUAUAUAUUAGAGCUGUCAAACGAUUAAAAUAUUUAAUCUAAUUAAAAAUGCAACUGUCAUAAUUAACUCAAAUGGACUAAAAAGUUAAUCGCGAUUACUCACACUUUUUUUUAUCGUUUCUGAAUUUCCUUUUACAUUUUUUGUCCUAUUUUUCACUGGAGACACGUUUUAUUUUCGCUAGGUCGCUACCACUGUCAGACAAACACAGAGAAGCUCCACCCGCUCUUUUUAUAUGGACGCAGAACACUGUAACCUUCCACACAAAAUAGUUCCAAACAAGUAACAUCCGCUUGUGACGUGUGCCGCGUUAAUCUCGCGAGAAAAAAUUUAAUCCCGUUAAAAUUCAUUUAAAUUAAUGGCAAUAAAAACGCGCUAAACUGACAGCUCUAAUAUAUAUAUAUAUUAUAUAUAUAUAAUCAACACAAGUUAUCUUUUCCCCUUCAUUCAGUGUUUUUUUUUUCUUUUUUGGGGGCGGGGGGGGGGGUCAGAGCUCCGUCCCCCCUCCCUUGAAUUGUAGCCUUUGGGAGUAGUGCAUUUUCGGCCUCCAAGCCAUGAAGUCAAUAUUGUUUUAUUGCUUUGUGUGUCGAUGCAAGGAACUUCUGUCUCAGUUCAAGACUUCGAGGAAUGAGGACUCGUCUAAUCUGCUGUUAGGUGAUUUUUUUUAUUUUAUUUUUUUGUAUUUAUAUUAUUUAUUUCUGUCUGCAUCUAAAGAGAUUACACGUCUACAAUUUGGCCAGAAAUUUAUUACUUUUUUUUUUAAGGACUAUCAACAUUAGUUGUAAUAGAAUAAAUGUUGGAAUAUAUGUUA